UCCCAGACCCUCAGCACACCGCGGUCCACCGUCGUCGCAUCCUCUGAUCCGCGCGUCACCGCCAGUCACCAUCCCUCGCCGCCACCGCCGCCGCACGGCAUCCCCCGCAUCCGUCGCUCGCCAGCUGCUGGCGGAGAGGGCCUCCACCGCAUUCAGUUGUCAGCACCUCGCCCGCAGGCCGUCAUCUUCAAUUUAGCAUUUUGCAGCUGAUUCCGCUGGUCCUCGUCGGUAACUUUUUUUCGUGUUACGGCUUUCCUCCCCCGUGUCAGGCAGCUCUUCCAUCAUCCCUCUGAGCUGUGGUUUUCUUCAUUUUCAUACCUACUCAUGGAGUCUUCAGAUUCGGUUCCCUUACAGUUAGAAGGUGUUCAGCGAGGUUCUCCAUGGAUCUGCUCAACUAGAAGCACGGAUACUUGUCAGCUGUUGGUGAAUAGGAUGCCUAUCAACCCGAAGCUAGCUGUAUUCGAGAGCACACAGGAGAGAUAUGCGCGGGUUUAUAAUUUCACCGCCUCUUCUGUAGUCCACUGUAUUUUCAUUGAUUCAUGGACUAUACCUUAUACUUUCAUUUUUCUCACUUCAGGUUCGAGGUUCCUCUUUGACCCGAGUUGCGAUCAUCUUAUCCAGUGGCUGGUGGCCCUGGAUCGUCUUUUCAACAGCUACCCAACCGAAAUGUUCCUCAACAGAGUUAUGUUCCUGAUGACCCUGGUGUUGAUUUUAUUGCGGAUGACCAAGAUCCGGGGUGCAAUAAAUCUGUUCACCGUAUGAGGAAUGCUUCUGAUGAUCGCACCGGGGUUAUAGAUCGCCGGAGGAAGAAGUUUCGGUCCUCUUCAAAGGAAAAGAAUAGUGCAACUGAUAAUUCUAGGCCAUUAACCGAUUAUUUCCUUGCCCAGGAUGGCACAGAGGUCCACCAAGACCCAGGAACUUCAAUGUUGGGUUGGAUGACAUGACUAAUGUCCCUAAGAUUCGUAUUCCACGCUUGCGUGAUCUCUUAUCCUGUCCAUUGGGUUGUCUCACUGGUCGCCCCUUGCAAGCCUUUAAUGAAUUGUUCGACCAGUUUGACCAAACCUUAUCUGAGAACACUUGUGCCAUCCAAGCUUCUCUAUGCAACAUUGCUAGAGCUCCUUAUCGUCUAGCUGAAAAGUGCGGACCGGUAAUAGAGGAGCUUAUUGCUUCUGAUCCUAACAAUAUUGGGGAGACUUCACGGAGGAACAACUCAGGCAUCGAAGAGGACUUUGUCCAUCCUCACAACGGUGGCACACAUCGAUCCCCACAAUACAUUCUGAUUAUGUUCUAUUUUUCAAUUCCUAAUCAAAUUGCUCCUGAAAGCUUCAACUUAUUUUUCUGUACAUUACUUUCUGUACAUCAAGUAUUCGAGCAUGGAAACGGUGGUGUUUUCAGGACCCCCAAGUUCUUGCUACAGAGAUGACGUAUUAAGGGAUGGCAACGGCCAAAACUCAUACACCCCAGAUCCCGCCACAUCUAAAACUGGUGGCACUACACCUUGCACUAAACCUCAUCAAGAAGCUUGCAGGGACGACA